rnacentral:lncRNA from 1 species
ACUGGAAAAUGGUCUGAGUCGCCACCCACCGUCCUAACCCUAGUCUUAGCUCCAUCGUACAUGUCCUUAAUUACUCUGAUGUAGGCUUCUGGUACACUCUUCGCCUCCAAGAACCUCCAUAGCACCUCCCCAGGGACCUUGUCAUACGCCUUCUCCAGGUCGAUAAGCACCAUGUGCAUGUCCUUUUUCUUAUUCCUGAACUGCUCCACCAGCCUCCUGACAAGGUGGAUAGCUUCUGUAGUGGAGCGAUCCGGCAUGAAAC